GAUGAACGCUGGCGGCGUGCCUAAUACAUGCAAGUCGAGCGAACAGACGAGGAGCUUGCUCCUCUGACGUUAGCGGCGGACGGGUGAGUAACACGUGGAUAACCUACCUAUAAGACUGGGAUAACUUCGGGAAACCGGAGCUAAUACCGGAUAAUAUAUUGAACCGCAUGGUUCAAUAGUGAAAGACGGUUUUGCUGUCACUUAUAGAUGGAUCCGCGCCGCAUUAGCUAGUUGGUAAGGUAACGGCUUACCAAGGCAGCGAUGCGUAGCCGACCUGAGAGGAUGAUCGGCCACACUGGUACUGAGACGCGGCCCAGACUCCUACGGGAGGCGGCAGUAGGGAAUCUUCCGCAAUGGGCGGAAGCCUGACGGUGCAGCGACGCGUGGUGAAUGAAGGUCUUCGGAUCGUUAAGCUCUGUUAUUGGGAGAGAACAAAUGUGGAAGUAACUAUGCACGUCUUGACGGUACCUAAUCAGAAAGCCACGGCUAACUACGUG
rnacentral:rRNA from 1 species